GAAACAUGCCAUGAUAGAAACUUCUACCAUUCUACUUUAAUCCUAUGCAUAGCCUAUGUUUAACACCCUUUCUACUUGAAUCCAAUAGUGAACAUCCUUCCCUUUUCCCUCAUCUAUGUGUCUGAUAUAGCCUAGGUAUUGGAAACAUGUGCGUUGUGGUACUUCUAGGGCCUGUUCACUUGUGGAAAACCAAGAUAUUUUUCUGGACAAGUUUUCUAAGAAAAUUGGAGAACAAAGUUUCAUGUUCACAUUUAUUAGUUUUACACAAGUAGAACUGCAAGAUUUAAUCAUAUUGUUAUAAAGUAAAUGAAUAACACAAAUUAAAAGUUUUAAAAAUAAAAUAAGUUUUUAAAUAUAUUUGACAAUAAUUUAUUUUUUAAUUAUGGAAGAUACGAAUAAUUUUUUAUUUUUUUUGAAUUAGAAAAUCAUUUUCCAUUAUUUACAAGUAAACAUGUUUUCCAUAUUUUUCAUUGCUUUCUAUAAGAAAAUGAAAACUAAAGUUCUCUUAGAAAAUAGAAAAUAAAAAAUAGAAAACUGUUUUCCACAAAUAAACAGGCCCCUAAUGUCCAAACUUUUAUGUCACUUCUCUUUUCAAGGAUAAGAUUGCAACACAUAUUUAGUUCUACUUAGCCAAUGGAUUCGAAAGUGCUCCUUUACGACUCUAGUUUACUGUUAACUCCAAGUUGGGUCUAACAUCAUGCACUGAGUGAUAUUCACUUUGAUAUGAUUUAUCACUUUAUUCACAACAAAACAAAAGAUUGGAGCUCAAGAUUUUUCCCUAGGUUAGCCAAGCUAAGGAUGAGCAUUAUUAGGUGUACUAUCUUUUCUUGUUUUUUCUGUUGCAAGCAUAUUUGAAGUCCAUCUUUAGGUAAGUGUCCAGCGUUACUUUUGGCCCAAAAUAAAAAGUUAUUCAGUGGCUUUUCUAUUAUCUACAUUUUUGCUGGUUCUGUUAUAGGUCAAGCUGAGAUGUGGAUUGA
rnacentral:misc_RNA from 1 species